GGCCUCCGGGUGCGUCCCACAGGCUGUGUUCUUUACACUGACUUUAUAGAAAGAGGAGGCACAGGGCACUCACCCCAUAUACACCCCAGCCCGGCCCUCUGACUAAUCUGUAUUGUGACCGGAGGGACAUGG